rnacentral:lncRNA from 1 species
AACGGCAAAAUUUCCUUAAAAUUACCAAUUCAGGACAGUAACCUAACAACGGGUUGUCCGAUCCAUGUGAAAACAUCAGGGCAGAUAGAUCUUUACCUGAUAAACAAUUAAACCCUGUCAGAUUUUCUCUUAAUGCUUCGGUUUUUGAGUUAUAAGCCAAAAACUGCAUUUUACCCCUAUGUUCUAUUAUUAGCCGUGGCAGCCAUUUUGAUUGAUUGGCCAGGUCACGCCACACAUUUUUUAAACAAAUUACCCCAAUGAUGAUUGUGGCAAAGCUUAGUUUAAUUUGGCCCAGUAGUUUCAGAGAAGAAGAUUUUUGUAAAAGAUUACUAAGAUUUAUGAAAAAAUGGUUAAAAAUUGACUAUAAAGGGCAAUAACUCCUUCAGGGGUCAACUGACCAUUUUGGUCAUGCUGACUUAUUUGUAAAUCUUACUUUGCUGAACAUUAUUGCUG